AUAGGAAUAUUGGACAAUGGGGGCAACCCUGAUCCAGCCAUGCCGCGUGAGUGAAGAAGGCCUUCGGGUUGUAAAGCUCUUUCAACUGUGAAGAUGAUGACGGUAACAGUAGAAGAAGCCCCGGCUAAAUUCGUGCCAGCAGCCGCGGUAAUACGAAUGGGGCAAGCGUUGUUCGGAAUCACUGGGCGUAAAGCGUGCGUAGGCGGCUAUUCAAGUCAGAAGUGAAAUCCCAGGGCCCAACCUUGGAACUGCUUUUGAAACUGGAUAGCUAGAGUUCGGGAGAGGCUGGCAGAAUUUCCAGUGUAGAGGUGAAAUUCGCAGAUAUUGGAAGGAAUACCAGUGGCGAAGGCGGCCAGCUGGACCGAUACUGACGCUGAGGCACGAAAGCGUGGGGAGCAAACA
rnacentral:rRNA from 1 species